rnacentral:lncRNA from 1 species
AAAAUAAUUCUUGAAGUAAAGAAGUUCAAAAGAAAUAUUAAGAACCCUAAAAAAAAGAAUUUUGUGCUUUUUCACGGGUGCUAUGCUUGCCAAAAGGCCUUUGUAAUUAUGGUCAUGUGUCCCUUUUAUACUAGAAAAUUUUUUACCAUAUCUGUACUUUUGACACGACGCAUCACAAAUCGUGUUGUAUCACCCAAAGAAUCACGUCCUUAUCGCGUCGUUCCACUGAAAUUCCACUUCUAAAAUCAGGCUAAGUCCAUUUUGUCACCACACGAUGCGAUGCACUGACAUCGCGUUGUGUCACUGGAAGUUGCUCCUCAAUAUUAAGCUAAGUAUGAAAAAUUGAGGCAUCGAUGCGACGAGUUGACAUCCCGUCGAUGCACUAGAAAUUAUUCUUCCAUAUUUUUCUAAGGUAUAUAAUGUUACCAGUUUACGCAACGCGUUGAGAUUGCGUCAUGUCACUGGUAUUCUUCUUCAUUUUCUUUCCUUCAUCUCAUCAAUCCUCAACACUUUUCUUUCUUCUUUUCUCUCGUGCAUCUUUAUAUGUUUUUGCCUUCGAUUUGCAUGGUCCUUUGCCUAAUCAUGAUAUGCAUCCCAUUUUCUUCCAAAUCCAUGGGAAAUCAACCCUGUUUUUCUAAUCACAUCGGUUAGCUACGAAACAUAAUUUAACAAGUAAUUCAACAUGUUUAACAUACUUUUCAUUCUCAAAACAAGUUCAAAUAUGGGUAAAUAGCGGUGUUUGGAUAUAUAAAUAAGUACAAGAUCACCAUCCCACACUUAAAACCUUGUUCGUCCUUGGACAAACUUCAAGCAUCACAAUACUCAAACCUUCUAAUCACAACCUAAGAAUCAUGCUGGUGUUAGACUCAUAAACUUUUAUUUCAAAAUUUCAAUGUCCCAACAGUGCAUUCAAUUUGUUGGCGAAUUUAAUAUAAGCAUGAAAUCAGGAAUCCAAUAAGAACUCCAGACUUUCAUCCGCAUGCACCCUCACAGCAAGAAAGUUUUCCCAUAUCACUCACACUUUAACAAUCUUAAUCAGAAUGGGAAUAUUAAAUUUCAAACACUCGCUCUCAACAAAGAAUUCACACAUAUACAGAGAUGAACCAUAGCCUUUCCCUUAGUGUAUUACUCUAUUAAUAGUCGAGUAUUAAAAUGUAGGAUCAAUUAGGGCUUUUCAUGGUUGUAAUGCAGGCUAAAGGACGGGUAAGAACUAUUUUGGAAAUAGUGACUAAUCUCCCUAAGCACUUUAAUACAUAACUACCUUCAUUCAAAAUGACAUUCUUUUCAACCAAACUUUCCACUUCAUUAUCUUUACACAUCCAUUGUUCCACCCAGAUCUUUCUAAGCACAUUUACAAAACUUUGGCAGGAGUAUUUCUUUUACAUUUCAGCUUUUCUUUAAAUCCUAAAUUUUGUUAUGCACUCCUAUAGUAGCCACCCUCAACCUAAGCAAUUUGUCUUAAUUGAGGUGCACAUUGUCCUUAACGGACCAGGGCCAAAACAGGUUCAUUGUAAUGCAAUAAUCGGGUAAUGAGAACUUAACUUUUUAUUACACAUUAUUUUCUAACUCCUAACCAUCACGAACAAAUGCGCAAAUUACUUCUCUUACAGCUUCACUUUCACUUUUUUCCCCUAUUUUGUAUUUCAAAUUCCCCCUUAUUCCAUUAUUUGCAUUAAAGUGCUUAGGAAAUAUAGAUCAAUUAAGGUCUUACCAAAGAAAAGGACUAGGCUAUAUAUGAGGCUACCAAGGAAAUCAGGCUAUAGGCUCAAUGGGGAUAACUAUGAAUAUGCUUAAGGGUAGGCAAAUAAAGUCUUUAAAAUCUGGUUAACAAAGAAAUGCCUAAAUCACUUCCUACUCCCCGUACCCUUUAUUUCUCUUUGUAAACACACCGGGCAAGUUUUAAUCAUUCACAUACAUGCAAAAUAUGAACAAUUACUCACACACUCGGUGCAUGCUAAGAAUCAAGUCGGAUCCUUAAGGUCUCCUAUUUUUGCACUUUAUCAAAUUCAAUAUUAAGCCAAUCAAAUCAAUUACACCUAUUGAGAUUUCACCUAAAAAACAAACAAAUAAUAUCCAACACGUACAUUCCUCCAAGGUUGCAAUCGGGGUCUUACUACUUUCUCAACUUCUAAAGAUGUACUCCCCUUAAGACGGUCGUCAUCCAUCUAUCAUAGGGGAAAGCACAAAUUAAGAUGAAUGCAUAACAAAAUUUGCCAGAAAGGACACACCUAAUUACUGUAAUCUGAAAUUGCACCACAAAGGGUAAAAAUAAAAUACUACCAUUAACAUAUACUAACAAAAAUAAUUCUUGCCAAAAAAGGCAAUACUUGUCAACUUACAAAUUUAUCAAAAUAUCCAAAAACACAAAACCAAUAAAAAUUGUUUGUUCAUCCAACCAAGCCAACACAACAUAGUCAAAUAGAAGAGAUGAAGAAGAAGAUGAAGAUCGACCUUUCUUUGAUUAUUAAAACUUUAAUUUGACCCAAAUUAAAGAUCUAUUUUGGAAUAAUAGAUCAAUUCCAUUAGGAGGUAUAAAACUUGACCGAACCCAAACGCACACGCAAGUGUACGUGGUCUUAUCAAGUAAUAUAGUGGUUUCAAGGAAGCCCAAGUAUCGAUCUUUCAGGGAUUUGUGUUCGCCGCCAAUCUAAUUCUAAUCUAACUAAUUGAGGAAAAAAGUUUGUAAUUUUGUAAAUUAAAAAUAAAAUAAAUAAUUCGUAAAAAUAAAAAUAUUGGGACAAUCAAUGGAGAAAAGCUCAGGGUUAAAGCACUUUGAACAAUCAUACUAUGUUAUUGAAUUUCAUUCGACAACUUGUUUAUUGUGGUUGUUGAUUCGUAGGGUUAAUUGAAUGAUCAUGGUUUUCCAACUAAUAAUCUUUUGUCUAAUAUGGAUAUUACAACUACAUCGUUGAGCAGGAAUAUAAUAUUAAGUUAAUUAAAGUUAUCAUACUACGUGUGAAUUAAGUAAGGCAUCUAAGUACAUUCCUGUCCUAGAUGCUAAGUUUAAUUCUUUAUUUUAUAAAAGAAUAAAAACUCAAACUUUGUUUAUUCCCAUGUUCUAUCUCCCUAUUCUCUCUCCCGAGAUCAAAAUAUUGAUAAUAUAUGUAUUCUAAGGGUCACGAAUCAUUAAAAUAAUUAAAACAAGAAUAAAUAAACAACCAAAUAUGAUAAGCAAAAAUUAAUCAAAAUUAAUUCAAAAUAAUAGUAAUCAUGUUCGUAGUUUUAAUUUCGAAAGGAGAAUUUUUAGCCACUAAUAUUUAUAAUCAUAAUCUAAAUAAUUGAAUACAUGAUAUGAAAAAAUUAAAUACUAAAAAUAAAAUUAAAACCUAAUUAACUGUGUAGUAGCUCCUCCACUU